GAAAGAUGGCUUCGGCUAUCACUUUUGGAUGGGCCCGCGGCGUAUUAGCUAGAUGGUGGGGUAAUGGCUCACCAUGGCAAUGAUACGUAGCCGACCUGAGAGGGUAAUCGGCCACAUUGGGACUGAGACACGGCCCAAACUCCUACGGGAGGGACCAGUAGGGAAUCUUCCACAAUGGACGAGAGUCUGAUGGAGCAACGCCGCGUGAGUGAAGAAGGGUUUCGGCUCGUAGAACUCUGUUGUUAAAGAAGAACAUAUCUGAGAGUAACUGUUCAGGUAUUGACGGUAUUUAACCAGAAAGCCACGGCUAACUACGUGCCAGCAGCCGCGGUAAUACGUAGGUGGCAAGCGUUGUCCGGAUUUAUUGGGCGUAAAGCGAGCGCAGGCGGUUUUUUAAGUCUGAUGUGAAAGCCUUCGGCUCAACCGAAGAAGUGCAUCGGAAACUGGGAAACUUGAGUGCAGAAGAGGACAGUGGAACUCCAUGUGUAGCGGUGAAAUGCGUAGAUAUAUGGAAGAACACCAGUGGCGAAGGCGGCUGUCUGGUCUGUAACUGACGCUGAGGCUCGAAAGUAUGGGUAGCAAACAGGAUUAGAUACCCUGGUAGUCCAUACCGUAAACGAUGAAUGCUAAGUGUUGGAGGGUUUCCGCCCUUCAGUGCUGCAGCUAACGCAUUAAGCAUUCCGCCUGGGGAGUACGGCCGCAAGGCUGAAACUCAAAGGAAUUGACGGGGGCCCGCACAAGCGGUGGAGCAUGUGGUUUAAUUCGAAGCUACGCGAAGAACCUUACCAGGUCUUGACAUACUAUGCAAAUCUAAGAGAUUAGACGUUCCCUUCGGGGACAUGGAUACAGGUGGUGCAUGGUUGUCGUCAGCUCGUGUCGUGAGAUGUUGGGUUAAGUCCCGCAACGAGCGCAACCCUUAUUAUCAGUUGCCAGCAUUAAGUUGGGCACUCUGGUGAGACUGCCGGUGACAAACCGGAGGAAGGUGGGGAUGACGUCAAAUCAUCAUGCCCCUUAUGACCUGGGCUACACACGUGCUACAAUGGAUGGUACAACGAGUUGCGAACUCGCGAGAGUAAGCUAAUCUCUUAAAGCCAUUCUCAGUUCGGAUUGUAGGCUGCAACUCGCCUACAUGAAGUCGGAAUCGCUAGUAAUCGCGGAUCAGCAUGCCGCGGUGAAUACGUUCCCGGGCCUUGUACACACCGCCCGUCACACCAUGAGAGUUUGUAACACCCAAAGU
rnacentral:rRNA from 2 species